UCGGCUUUACAGUAUAAAUAGUUGCGUUAACUGAAUAUCGGCACACUUCGUCUGAAGAACAAUCAUGAAAGCCUACAUCACUCUGGCCUGCCUGUCGGCAGUACUUGCGCUUAGCCAGGCUAGCGGCAUUGGCCUCGGCUACGGCGGCUUGGGUCUCGGCCAGGCUACGGGGGUGGUUACGGCUAUGGACUCGGCGGUGGUCAUCUCCUGGCUCCAGCGAUCUCAACCGCCAGCGUGGUGAAAGCCGCCCCGAUCCCGGUCAUUAGGACCGCUGCCGUAGCACCCAUCAUCACUGCUCCUGUCCUACGCACUGUACCAGUAAGCGUCGGCUACGGAUACGGUGGCUAUGGACAUGGUGGCUACGGACACGGUGGCUACGGAUUGGGUGGCUACGGACUUGGCUACGGACUGGGCGGCUACGGCAGGGGCUGGGGCGGUCUAGGCAGCUGGGGCGGUUGGGGAUUGGGCGGCAAGCAUUACGGCUGAACCAAUAAAGACGAAGUGCAUCUUUCUGUAAAACCAAAUUGAUUGUCCUUCGAUUGGCUCAUGCACCGUAAUAAAAUGUAUUCACACGUCUAA